rnacentral:rRNA from 1 species
AGUGAACGCUGGCGGUAGGCCUAACACAUGCAAGUCGAACGGCAGCACAGUAAGAGCUUGCUCUUACGGGUGGCGAGUGGCGGACGGGUGAGGAAUACAUCGGAAUCUACUUUUUCGUGGGGGAUAACGUAGGGAAACUUACGCUAAUACCGCAUACGACCUACGGGUGAAAGCAGGGGAUCUUCGGACCUUGCGCGAUUGAAUGAGCCGAUGUCGGAUUAGCUAGUUGGCGGGGUAAAGGCCCACCAAGGCGACGAUCCGUAGCUGGUCUGAGAGGAUGAUCGGCCCCCCUGGAACUGGGACACGGCCCAGACCCCUACGGGAGGCAGCAGUGGGGAAUUUUGGCAAAUGGGCGCAAGCCUGAUCCAGCCAUACCGGGUGGGUGAAGAAGGCCUUCGGGUUGUAAAGCCCUUUUGUUGGGAAAAAAAAGCAGCAGGUUAAUACCCCGCUGUUUUGACGGUACCCAAAGAAUAAGCACCGGCUAACUUCGU